rnacentral:rRNA from 1 species
ACUCCUACGGGAGGGCACAGUGGGAAUGAUUCAACAAUGGGGGAAACCCUGAUGCAGCCAUGCCGCGUGUGUGAAGAAGGCCUUCGGGGUUGUAAAGCACUUUCAGUAGGGAGGAAGGUAGUGUAGUUAACACCUGCAUUAUUUGACGUUACCUACAGAAGAAGCACCGGCUAACUCCGUGCCAGCAGCCGCGGUAAUACGGAGGGUGCGAGCGUUAAUCGG